CGAAAGAAACACUUAAAUUUGUUUGAGUGAAAAACGAUUGACGGACCGAAGAGACGUAACUGCGUUAAUGAAAGUCGAGGCGAAAGCACGACAAAGCGAAUUUAAGGAUACGUUCGUGGGGUAGGGGAGCGUUCUGUAAGCCUGCGAAGGUGUACUGUGAGGUCUGCUGGAGGUAUCAGAAGUGCGAAUGCUGACAUAAGUAACGAUAAUGCGGGUGAAAAACCCGCUCGCCGGAAGACCAAGGGUUCCUGUCCAACGUUAAUCGGGGC
rnacentral:rRNA from 1 species